UACGGCGGGGGAAAGCGUGUUCCGGAUUCACUGGGUGUAAAGGGCGCGUAGGCGGGUUAGCAAGUCAGAGGUGAAAUCUCCCGGCUCAACCGGGAAACUGCCUUUGAAACUGUUAAUCUUGAGUGCGGAAGAGAGAGACGGAAUUCCAGGUGUAGCGGUGAAAUGCGUAGAUAUCUGGAGGAACACCGGUUGCGAAGGCGGUCUCUUGGUCCGUAACUGACGCGCAGGCGCGAAAGCGUGGGUAGAACACAGGAUGAGAUACCCCUGUAGUCC
rnacentral:rRNA from 1 species